rnacentral:lncRNA from 1 species
UCCAGAUUGUUUUUUAUUCCGAGUUCGAAAAAUCUUGAACAAAAAUAGAGGGAAAGCUAGAGACUGCAUUCGAUGUUCGAAAAGUAACUGAGAGUUCUGUUGUACUGUAAAGAUAAAGUUGGAUGAUGGAGAUCAAGAUCAUCAAAACGCCCGUAGGAAGCGUUAAAACAUUAUUGGAACACAAAUUGCAACUGGAAAUAACAGCUAGUGACUAAAACUCUUGAUGUUUCUGAAGCCACUUUCUCCGGAACUCAUUCAUGUCUUGUCUUUUUUUGUAUCAUCAGCGGAGCGCUCCCAGGAAAUUCAGAAAUUCAGAAUGAGGCACAGCCAGCACUGCAUGGAAAUAUGAAGAGAAACUCCAUGUCAUUCUAAUCUUGGAGCAAACAGGAUAAAGAAAAAAUUUAUACAAAGCAAGCAGUACAUGGUAAGUAACUUACUCAUAUCUUGCAUGCAUGCAUAGCAUACAACCUUUAUUCAGUUGACCGACUCAGCAACCCAUCACGGCGCACAGAAUCUGUAUUCCCAUCAAUCGCCGUGUGGCAAACAAAUCCCAGACAGGCGGUUCCCCAUCCGGGGUCCAUGAAUGAAGCUCAACCACCUUUUCAUCAAUUGAAUCGUUUGGACGCCCAAUAACAAUCAGGCGGUCACCACACGCUCGGAAACCCAGGUCCCAGCCAUCUUUGUCCUUCGACUGUACAGGCAAUUUCCCAAGAGUGAUCCACUUGUUGUCCAGCUUAUCAUACCGCUUCAAAUCAUUAUUCUCACUGUAAUCAGCAGUAUAAAGCUCAUUGUUGACAACUGCAAGGAGUGGAGGAUCUCCAUCGUUUGUCUCGUUGAGCCCCUGAGACAUGUUGUCGAUGACCCUCCAUGACCGCAGGUUCAAGUCAUACUCCUCACCGCAAGUCAAUACCUCGUGGCUACUGCUAAGACCACCGAUGACAUAGAACUUGCCGUCCAUGAAGGCGCCAGAGCAUCCGUACCUGGCCCUAUUCAUGCUGGGAAGGGGUGUCCAAGUAUGUGUCUCCGAGUCAUACAUCUCUGCCGUGCUCAAUACAUUAGCACUAGAAGGAUCAACGCCUCCCGUGACGUACGCCUUCUCACCGACACUGGCUGACCCAAACAAGGUCCGCGGGGUGUUCAUCGCAUCAGCAUCAGCAUCAGGCAGCCCUGUCCAUGAAUUGGUAAGGAUGCUAUAUCUCAAGGAAACCCCUUCGGACCCAAACAGCAGCAGCUCGGUUCCUACAGCGAGCGACUCCCAGAAUCUGCUUUGAGCCGGUGGCAUCUUGGGCACGUGGAUCCAGCGCCCAGUGGACGGGUCAUAAGCGUCCCAAUCCAGAAAAUCGUUACCGCAAGAGAGGUAGAGCCAGUGCUCCGCCACCCCAUUCUUGCGACGCAGGCGGUAGAUGUCCCCGUCGCGAACCACCGAAUUGAAUUCACGGUUGAGGGAGGCGAUGGAGGCGCCGUAGUCCCGCCUGGGCACAAGGUGGAGGCAACGGAUGAAGAGCUCCCGACCUAUCACAUCAAUGGUAUUGCUCCACGACACCACAGCUUGCUGCUCCUCUACACCUGACAAAAAGCCAACACUUGAUUCAUCGUCUUACUAAUUUCUCCUACGUGUAAUUUAUAACCUCAUGAAGAUGCAUGUUAGGGAAUAAGCCAAGGGCGUGUGUGUGUGUCGGCACGUGUGAGUACGCAUGCGUGUGUGCGUUAGCGCCAUGUGACCUGACUCGACCUGGUCGUGCUUGUGGGGAAACUACGUACGGGCCGACUCGGCCAGCGCCCUCCCUUUGAGGUUUAUGUUAAUGUUAAGGUACGUAUAUAUAUGUCGACUCCUGUUAAUGUUAAGUGGACAUUUAUCUCCCUUUCCCUUAGGCUAGCUAUAAAGAGGAAAGCAACUCAUUAUACGAUGACUUGAUCAAUUAUUAAUUAAAAAAAAGACUUUCCUCUAUAGUAUCUAUAUGUCAAUCUAUUUUAUGUAUCUAUGUGUGAUCGACUACGUCGCUAGCUCCGCUCCGUAACCUUGGACCAAACUCGCCGAUCGACAGGAGUUCUAUACCACGUUAUCAGCACGAUGAGCUCCACCAAGCCCGCGCCAAGCCUUCAUCGAGCAGUUUUUGUCGUUCGCGCGGACGUAUGGAUCCGACAUCUUUUUGCAAACAUGGAUUCCUUUCGUUAUCAUGAUUCCGUUUUUGCGCUUAGUUUAUUUUUUAAAUUUAAUUUAUCCACAAUGUGGAUUUAUCUCCCAAGAACUAGCUGACAAGCCCCAGGCCCAUAUAAUAUUCCUGUCGAAUUUUAUAAGCAUUGUUAGGAAUUUGUUAAAUAUGAUCUGAUGAGAUUGUUUGGUGCUUUCCAUAACAAUUCUUUACAUGUGGCUCGUUUAAACUACGGGGUUAUCACUUUGCUUCCUAAAUUAAAUGGAGCCAAAAAAAUUCAACAAUACAGACCCAUUUGUUUGUUGGGUUGUCCUUAUAAGUUGAUAACGAAGGUUUUGAAUGACAGGGUGGCAUUGUACUCUGAUGUUCUAAUUAGUAGGCAUCAAAAUGCUUUCAUUAAACAUAGAAAAUAUAAUGGAUGGCAUCCUGACUUUGCAUGAAGUUUUGCACCACACUCAGCGUCGUCAAAAUGUGGGAUAGUGCUGAAACUGGACUUUGAAAAACCUUAUGAUAAGAUCAACUGGGAUUUCCUCGUGGAGUGCCAUAGAAACAGAGGUUUUGGAGAAACCUGGUGUGGCUGGAUAAAAAAGAUCUUAUAUGAUGGCACGGUGUGCAUUAAGUUGAAUAAUGAAAAAGAUCCUUAUUUCCAAAGUCAUAAGGGGGUUAGACAGGGUGAUCCUUUCUCUCCUUUCUUGUUCAAUAUUGUUGUUGAGGCCUUGUCUAAGAUGGUGAGAAAUGCCCAGAGGGAGAAAUUGUUCACCGGUCUUGCCCCUGAUCUUAUUGAUGAUGGUGUUUCUAUCCUUCAGUAUGCGGAUGACACGGUAAUAUGCUUUAAACAUGAUGUAGCUGCGACUGUUAAUUUGAAACUCUUGUUAUACUUGUUUGAACUGAUGUCGGGGUUAAAGAUCAAUUUUGAGAAGAGUGAGAUUUUUUUGUGUGGGAGGUGAUGAUAAUAUCCUGAAUACUUAUGCUGACAUGUUUAAUUGUCAGAUUGGGCACCUUCCUAUGAAGUAUUUGGGGGUUCCAAUAAGCUUUACUGGACUCAGGUGUGUAGAUUGGUUGUUUCUGGAUGAAAAAUUUCUUAAAUGUUGUGAAACUUGGAUAGGUAAUGCUGCAUCUUCGGGAGGUAGGCUGAUUCUGAUGAACUCAUCGCUUACUAGUAUAGUAUAUUACUAUAUGACGAUGUUCUUGCUUCCUAAGAUGGUCAUAUACAAACUUGAUAAACACACGAAGAAAUUCUUUUGGAGAGAAUUCGAGGGUAAUAAGAGAUAUCACCUGGUUAAGUGGGAUCGUAUUUGUAG